rnacentral:rRNA from 1 species
UCUGGUGGUUAUGACAGGUUCGAACCACCCGGUCCCAUCCCGAACCCGGAAGUGAAAGGGCCUCGUGCCAAUGGUACUUCAGCUCAAGCUGCGGAAGAGUAGGUCGCCGCCAGAU